GGCCGUGUGGCCUAAUGGAUAAAGGCGUCUGACUUCGGAUCAGAAGAUUGCAGGUUCGAAUCCUGUCAAGGUGG